AUGGCCGUAUCACGUUGACACAUCGGUUUCCAACCGAUCACUGAAGUUAAGCAACGUCGUGCUUGGUCGGUACCUAGAUAGGUGACCACUUUGAAAUACCAAGUGAAGU